rnacentral:rRNA from 1 species
CGAGGAAUAUUGCACAAUGGGGGAAACCCUGUUGCAGCAACGCCGCGUGCGGGACGAAGGCCUUCGGUUCGUAAACCGCUUUUCUGGGGAAAGAGCAAGGACGGUACCUCAGGAAUAAGUCUCGGCUAACUACGUGCCAGCAGCCGCGGUAAAACGUAGGAGGCGAGCGUUAUCCGGAUUUACUGGGCGUAAAGCGCACGCAGGCGGCUCUGUGAGUCGGACGUGAGAGCUCCCGGCUUAACCGGGAGAGGCCGUUCGAUACUGCGGGGCUUGAGGUAGGGAGAGGAAUGCGGAAUUCCCGGUGUAGUGGUGGAAUGCGUAGAUAUCGGGAGGAACACCUGUGGCGAAAGCGGCAUUCUGGCCCUCACCUGACGCUGAGGUGCGAAAGCGUGGGUAGCAAACAG